rnacentral:rRNA from 1 species
GUCUACGGCCACCCUGAACAAGCCCCAUCUCGUCUGAUCUCAGAAGCUAAGCAGGGUCGAGCCUGAUUAGAACCUGAAUGGGAGAUCACCUAAGAAGAUCAGGUGCUGUAGAUG